GACGCUGGCGGCGUGCUUCAUACAUGCAAGUCGAACGAGAAGCUCACUUCGGUGAGUGGAAAGUGGCGGACGGGUGAGUAAUAUGUAGAGAAUCUGCCCUAGAGAGUGGGACAACAGAGGGAAACUUCUGCUAAUACCGCAUAUGAGCGUAGCUGAAAUGCUAUUCUUGAAAACUCCGGUGCUCUGGGAUGAGUCUGCAUCUGAUUAGCUAGUUGGCGGUGUAAUGGACCACCAAGGCGAUGAUCAGUAGCUGGUUUGAGAGGAUGAUCAGCCACAAUGGGACUGAGACACGGCCCAUACUCC
rnacentral:rRNA from 1 species